UUCUUUUUCUCUUUCUUCUUCUUCUUAUUUUUCUUCUUUUUCUUCUUUUCGUUCCGAUUUUGGUUGAUCCAUGCUGCUUCUUUUUCGAUCAUAGAUCAAAUGAAAAGGGACAUGCUCCACUUUUGGACUCGAAGAGUAAAUUGA
rnacentral:ribozyme from 13 species